rnacentral:rRNA from 1 species
GGAUGAACGCUAGCGGCGCGCUUAAUGCAUGCAAGUCGAGCGAUGAGGGCACUUCGGGUGUACAUCAGCGGCAGACGGGUGAGUAACACGUGGGUGACCUACCCUAAAGACGGGGAUAACCCUCGGAAACGGGGGCUAAUACCGGAUAGCUACAGCGUACGGGGGUAUGUUGUAGAAAGCUACGGCGCUUUAGGAGGGGCCUGCGGCCCAUCAGCUAGUUGGUAGGGUAACGGCCUACCAAGGCAAAGACGGGUAGGGGGUGUGAGAGCACGGCCCCCCACAAUGGGACUGGAACACGGCCCAUACUCCUACGGGAGGCAGCAGCAGGGAAUAUUGCGCAAUGGGCGAAAGCCUGACGCAGCGACGCCGCGUGAGUGAAGACGGCUUUCGAGUUGUAAAACUCUUUUCUGGGGGAAGAGGAAGGACGGUACCCGAGGAAUAAGCGUCGGCUAACUACGUGCCAGCAGCCGCGGUAAGACGUAGGACGCGAGCGUUAUCCGGAUUUACUGGGCGUAAAGCGCCUGUAGGCGGCUUUGUAAGUUGGGCGUGAAAGCCCCGUGCUUAACGCGGGGAGGCCGUUCAAUACUGCGGAGCUAGAGUACGGCAGAGGGGAGUGGAAUUCCUGGAGUAGCGGUAAAAUGCGCAGAUAUCAGGAGGAACACCAGUGGCGAAGGCGGCUCCCUGGGCCGAGACUGACGCUCAGAGGCGAAAGCUAGGGGAGCGAACAGGAUUAGAGACCCUGGUAGUCCUAGCCCUAAACGAUGGAUGCUAGGUGUGGGGACGAGGAGUUUCCGUGCCGGAGCAAACGCGAUAAGCAUCCCGCCUGGGGACUACGGCCGCAAGGUUAAAACUCAAACGAAUUGACGGGGGCCCGCACAAGCAGCGGAGCGUGUGUUUAAAUUCGAUGCUACACGAAGAACCCUUACCUGGGUUUGACAUGUAGGUGGUAGCGAGGCGAAAGCUGAGCGACCAUUCGGGGAGCCUACACAGGUGCUGCAUGGCUGUCGUCAGCUCGUGCCGUGAGGUGUCGGGUUAAGUCCCGUAACGAGCGCAACCAUUGCUCCUAGUUAUACGUGUCUAGGGGGACUGCCGGCGGGAAGCCGGAGGAAGGUGGGGAUGACGUCAAGUCAGCAUGGCCCUUAUGUCCAGGGCUACACACACGCUACAAUGGCCAGUACAAAGGGUAGCGAAGCCGCGAGGUGGAGCGAAUCUCAGCAAAGCUGUUCGUAGUUCGGAUUGCAGGCUGCAACCCGCCUGCAUGAAGCUGGAGUUGCUAGUACCCGCGCGUCAGCUAUAGUGC